CAACAAACAGAAUAGACAAGUAGAAAAUUUAACAUUUUUCAAAUUAAAAAUAUUUAAUACUGUCUGUUUAUUAUGCACUUUAAAGAGAAUCUCAAAUCACUCAAAAGAAUUGAUUAUCUGCGUCAUAAAUAACUGAUAUCUCGAGAAUACUUCGAUCAUUCAAUUAACGAAUCAAAUCAAAUUUACGUCAAGUGAGUAUCGCGGAAAAUCCGACAAAAAAUCGGGCGGCGUGUAGAGCUUAAACCCGACGGUGGGGGAUUCUCCUAAGCUUGAGCGUCAGCUGAUUGGUUGUUCCGGCGUCAGCUGAUUUUGACAGCCCGGACGACCUUGCACGUCCUAGCCGAGAUAUCGACCAAUCGGGAAGCGUUGCACCGUACGCACGCGCCUGCACUAAUCCUGAUCAGCUGACUCUCGCCGAGCUCGCAUCCUCGAUGCGAUCGAAAAAAUCUGCGCUACAGAAUGAAUCAUAUCGCGACGACAGAGUGCGUGUACCUGCGCGUUGCCGACAUUGCCAGGACAUUAGCUAUAUUCAUUCCGGGGUCUCGAGCUAUCCCGAUCAAUAAUUCGUUUCCCAGCUGUCACGCCCCUUGUUCUAAACGAACGAACGAACAAAGGAUCGAACAAAUGUGAAUGUAAUACCAACGAAAAUUAUACUACAAUUAUAGUACAACACUAUUAUUUAGUCUCGUUCAGAGUUUAUCUUCCCAAGUCGAAACACUUCACGGUAGUUGCAAUGUCUUCACGAUACUCGGAAAGCAUAACGUUUGCUUUUGGCGCUUAUUUCUUAUCUUAUUAUCAUGAUAAGGAUACCAUGAUGAACAGCCAAAUCGAAUUUAUCCAUAUUAUAAGAUAGCAGCCAACUUUUGUUCUCUUGUAUCUUUUACUAACUUUUUAUCCAAUAAAUAACUAUAUUUCGCAACGG